UGGGGUUCCAGUUGGAUUUAUGGCGCACUAUUCUUAAUAACUAUGGAUUAGACUUUCUCUCUUAUGAAACAGUAAAUCUUAGUUCUAAUCAUAAAUCCCAAGAUGGAUUUUUGUUUCUACAGUCAAAAGAGACGCAGAGGCACAUUAUUUACAGAACAUCUUGACUCUGUUAAUUUCAAACCACUUGUUGACAUCGAUUGCAGCCACAGUUCGUAUCAGCUCCAGUGGGUCACAGUUUGACCGAUUAUUCAUAUCUACGAAGAGCAACGUCCUUCAGGUCAAUGACCGCUUUACAAAUAUUUUGGGUGGUGAAACGUGGCCGGUCUUUUGAAGGAAGCCUGUGUGGCACUUUGAGGCGACUAAAAGGGAACCCACUGCAGUUAGAGAGAGAUACAUUCAGAGGAUUUCCCAUUCCUCAUUGCUCCUCUCUCCUCUCACAUCACCAUGAGUCUUGCUGAGGCUCCAUGCCAUUGCAGCACACCCUGCCAACAUUUCACAGAUCCAUACCGGCAAGGGGGAACCAAAGAGGGGGGAGGGGCAGGAAUGCUUGCAGGAGGCAGAAAAAAGGAAGAGGGGGGAGGGGAGGGGUUUCCUGGGAUGAAAGCAAGUGCUAUGAUGCUGCACAGGAGAAAAAAAAGAGAUGUCCAGGGAAGGUACAAACAUUUUCAGACCAUUUUACUGACUGUUUGAGCGCAAACAGUAGAAGAAAUGUUGUUUGUAGGUAAUUUCAAAGGAUCAACAUCUUUUAACACCUACCUGAUGCCUCCUGAUAGAAUGCUGCCACGCCUGCAGCUCACACUAAUGUCAGAGAUGAAGGGGGUCUUUCUCAUGCAGGUGCUAACGCAUGUACAUUAGCAAGUGGGAGUAAAGUGAUAUUUAUGUAUCAGUGCAUCUGUGUGCAGGACUAUAAUAGAAAGCAGGGAGGUGAGGAGUAGGCCAAAGUAAAGUAUGGUCACCCAACCUUGAAAUAACUGCUGGACCGUGGGUCAAAGCAAAAGAGGAGAUCUGAUAGUGAUAACAGGAACCUCCCACUGAAGCAGCCUCAUAAUGGGCCCAUCCACAUACCAACUCUCUCCAGUUUCUUAAAAACAUACUCCAGCGCAACACAUUUAUGAAAGGAAUGUCGAAGAGAGGUUUGGGGGGGCUGGGAAGAUGAACUCACUGGCAUGUUUUCGUCUUUCUUGUUGAGCUGUUUGGUCAAAAUGAUGUACUGCGUCUGCACGCGGGGUGCUGCCAUAACUUUCAGGCUGGAAAAUGACUGGAAAAAGGAUCCGGUAACAGACGACAACAAAAACAUAUUUUACAUGAUGCUGUGAGAUAACUUUCUCACAUAAUAACGACACCAAAUAUUAAGACAAAACAGAUAUUUGUGGACAUUUUUACAUUUAUUGGGAAGGAAAACUGAGGAGAAAGAGAAGAUUUGGGAAGUAGAAAGUGAGGGAAGACAUGCAGUGCAUGGUUGUGGCAGGGAGUCAAACCAGUGGAAGGGACUAAAUAGCCUCUAUACAUGAGGAGGGUGCUUAAACUUCUGGGUCAAUCACAACAACACAAAAUUUUUCUUUACAACCUUCAGACCCAUUUUUAUAAUUUCAGUGAGCUAGGUGUUGCAGUGGACCACACAAUGACACCAAAAUACAGCUCAGCCAGUUGCGUGUUGGUUUCUAAGCAUCAAUAGGUUAAACUCACAGGGCAGGAGUAUUUAUAGAACCUUAGAGCACUUCUAAAAAAGUCAUCUGGCAACAAAUUGACCUUCAAACUCUCAAUGAACAAUAGUUAUCCGGUGGAAGAACUUGUAAAGCAGGAGACCUUUCAAGCAGAGUGCUUAAUGUAGUGGCAGUAAUGGUAGAAAUAUGAGGAUAAAAUGCAAACACUGUAACAACCAGAUAAAUGGUGCUUCAACGAUUUCCUCUAGUAAAUAAUGUUGAUUUUUUUUCUCUUGACUCCCUUAAUGGAUAUUCAUCAUUGUCACAUGUAUUCUUUCACUUCCUUUGCCUUUUACGUGUGAGUUCAUUGGUAGAACAGGGUCCGUGUCUUUUGCAUCUUGAUUUAAACACUCCCUUAAAGUUGCAUAGUUGUGAAAGGCCAGCUGCACUGCCUGGUUACCCUAACACUAUGUGCUCUAUAUGCAAGCUCUCCUGCACAAAGCUCAGUCUGUGUUCCAGCUUCUUUUUACCCUGUGAGAGGACUAGCAUGCAGGCUUUAGCAAUUCCUGACUGAGAAGCAAAGUGAAAGGGAAACGUGAACUCAAUUCAAAUGUUAUGUAAUCAGGAAACCCAUGAAGCACUGACCCAGAAGGUCAAGUUUUUAAGGUUAUUGUUUUAAUGUUCUUUAGGGGCGAAGACUUCCCAGACUUUCUCACUGUGCAAGCCAACUGGACAGGGCAAUCCAAAUGCUAUACCAGUGCUUUAAUGGUUGAGACGCAGAGAAACAUAAACAAACUGACUAAAAAUAUACAGAAAAACUCAUCUGCAGGACACUACUCUUUUUGUAUUAUCUAAAGAACAACAAAUAUUGAUCACAAUUUAAAAUCUUAUAUGAAAAAAAUGGAAUUUAAACAAACAAAAAAAAAACACUUGUAUAUCAAUGCAAUGCUCUACAUUUAUUAAAUCUGCAAAUUACUAUGAUGGGACUGCAGACUGUGAGAAACACGGACAUCUGCCCUUUUAUAUUGUGAGUCCACAACAGCCCCUGCCACCUUCACUUCUUUGUACUUUACAUUGAUAUUGCAAUAACAUUACCCCGGUGUACUAGUGGCCGUUACAGUGUUGUGGAAGCACAAGGGGUAAACACACCUCUUUACAUACUGUACACACAAUCAGACAAGCACACAUGUGGCCCUGCCUAUUCUGCUGACUCACAGUGAUCUUGUCUUUGCUCUCUUAGUACUUCAGAUAUUAGCGCAGCCGUGGGUCGACUUGGUCCCACUUUUACACAUCAAACUGCAGUUGGGACAUUAGAGGGUGUAAACACUGCACCUUUUCCAGGAUAUGCAUCUUCAAGCCCUAAAAUGGCAGUGAUUGCAUUGUCUUCAACUAACUUCCAGUUGAAGAGGUGGAGUUGCGACCUUAGCCUUGCUGCCUGGAAAGCAGCUCCAGUGUGUCCACCUGAAAGUCAAAUCUACCACACCUUUCAUUGUGCCCUUUUAAGCAUAACUGUUCGCCUUGAUCUAAUCAAAACAGAUAGGUAAUACGAAAACAAACUGCCCAUGCAGAUGCCACGAGUCAAAUAAUGAGGUGCUGCAACCAAGACAUCGCCAUGUUUAUUUCUGCUGCAAACAUCGGCAUGUUAAUAUUGGCUAACGGGGUUUCCUGGGAAUGCAUUGGCUUUACUGAGAGUUGGCACUUGGUUGGUACUCUAUUCUUGCCAGUAAAAACCCAAAAUGAUAAUAGGUCAGCAUCUAACAUAGAAAAUAAGAGACAACUUUCAAGUGUCGAUCGGUGCACGAGGCAAAGAUUUUGCAGCACGUAAACCUGGCAUUUUAAUUUUUGCAGGAAUUAGAUGUGAAUCUUGACAGCUGCAUGGAGAAAGAAAAUCAAUUUGUUUGAGGCAAAGUCCAAUUCGCUUCGAAAAGUAAAAAAAAUCUGUUGUAUGUAUUGCAGGAACGCACUUACUUUUAAAACUCUGCACUUAGUAAGACGCUGAUAGAGAAAAUGAGCUCUUGGGGCCUUUAAAGCAUUACUGUCAGCACUGAAGACUACACCAUUUCACUCUGCACUGAACUUGUUCUACCUGAUCCCAAAACCUUCCCCCGGCAAUACUUUACAUGACUGUAUUUACACACUCUCUACCUAGAGGGCUGUUUCAUUAAAACCACAUCAAUGCCCGAGGCACACUUUUGAAGGAAUCGUUUAGUUUCGACUUGAUUGUCGAAUAUCAAACCGGGAGGAUGGGAGUGUGUGUGUGGGAGACUGCUGCAUUCUGACAGAAGAGAUCCUCUUUCCCUCACUCCAUCCACUCAGCUGUCUGAGUAAAUAAUAAGAGUCAGGUGGCCACAUUACAGCAACAGCUGAUCACUAUGUUUAUUAUUCAAGCACGAGGGUGUCAGAGCAGAAGUACAGACAGGAAAACACGCACACACACACACGUUACACAGCCUAAAACAAAUAACUCAUUCUUCCCUUUUCACGUUCUCAUCCCAGACAGACACGCAUGCACUAAUGUCGACUGCUUUCACUAUGAUGGCUGUACAGAGACUUCCUCCCUUUCCCUUUAUGUUCUCUAAAACAGCCAGUCAGUGAAAGAUGCUUUAAGUAACUGACAUGCUGAAAGGGCGAGAGUGUUUUUUAUGGAUUUGUCCUCUGCUUCAAACUGAGCCCUCCAAAGCAAACCAUCAUUUUUCCGUUUUUCUGUCCCUGUCUGCCUUCUCCUCUUUGCUCUCGGUGUCUUCCUCGCACACAUUAUAAACAUUACUCUGUACUCUCCUUUCUCCUCUGGGCCUGUAAAUCUUUUUAGCCUCUUUAUCGCUCUUUCUCUCUCCUGUUCAGGCUGUGGUCCACCCUCCUACCCCCGAAUCCAUCCAUCUGGACAUGUACGCUAAUGCUGUCAUUGUAUCAGAGCAGGCAGAAGCCUAUUAGGGCGAGCCUGGUGGUCGUAAGGAAUCAAUAUUGAUCCAUAGGGUUAGUCUAAUGGACGCUGAGAGUAGCAGUGAUUCCCCUUUGUCUGCUCAAAGAUCCCAUCAACCCUUAACUCCACGCACAUGCGCACCGACCCUCUCAACAACACUCACACAAACUCAUAGACACACACACACAAACACACAAACAAAGACACUACUCUCUAUUCUGGCCAACUCUGCUGAUGCAGCUGCUGUGCUGAGCGAGCACUUUACAGCUACUCAUUUUAAAUGAGAGUGUGUGUUGGUGUGUGUGUGAGCAUGUGUGUUAUUGUGAUGGGAUGCAGACAUAUUAUCAGUAUCUAUGUAAACAUAUGAGUGCCUGUGGAUUCUCAUCCAUAUAUUCACAUCACCAAGCAUUCCUAGCGAUUAAGACAACACCACAAGAUUCGAAACAAUGAACAAACUAAAUCACACAUGUUCACACAGCUUUUCAGCGUAAACUUUAACCUGCACAAAACUUGAAGAAGGUGGCAGUGUGGAGGCCAUCUCAGUUUUCAUUUUGGCUCGACACCUGCUGAGAUUUCCAGCAGCCUUGCUGUCGUAUCAGCAACUGUUCAAUGUCACAGAAUUUGCAGGGUGGCUCUGAUGUGAAAGUUGAGACAGCACCCACAACCUCAGCAUCCACCUUUUUUUUUUUUUUUUGUUUCAGGCACAGGAGUGAGUGUUUUUUUCACUCCGGGCUUGUCUAAGAAGAAGGAGCACAGGUGUUACUGACAACACCAACAAUGGUUCAGGUCUUACUGGGUGUCUCAGGAGGCCAUGACAGUGUGACACUGAGCCAUCAUGAACAAUAGCAGAACUCCGGCAUGUAUCCUGAAUCACUUAUUCUCAAGUCUCUAUGACAUUACAGGCUCAUGAGCCAUUGUUAUUUCAUUCAAGGGAAAGUGAUACAAUCAGUGCAGUGUAUCACACCCUUUAAAGCCAUGACUCAGACAAAAAAAGUACAGAGGCCAUGGUCCUGGACACAUGGUUGUUCAAUAGUCAGCCUCUGCCCUUUGCUGCGUGUAUUACCCCUUCUCUCCUCUCAUUUUCUGUCUUGCUCCCUGAUUUCUAUUGUGACCCCCUUGAAAAUCAGAGGGUAUUUUACCUCAUCAUUACCAUUGUAUCUGAUAGGACAAAAAGUUCCACAUUAAAUAACAGAAAAUUGAAAAAAGUAAGUUGAGUUAAAAGUGUGAAAACUUGUAAUCACAUUAACAAUGCUUAAAGGGGUAUUCCGGCGUAAAAUUAAUUUAGGGACAAAAACAUUGUAACACAGAGUUAGACACCCUGUUGAGAGAUCCUUGAGCUGCGUCACCCUGCAGCAGUCUGUAAUGAACUGGCCCGAGGUCUUGCUACAAACAAGCGGCUGCUGGAAGAGAGUAGGUGAGUUGUGUUCAGUCUUUUAUGUACUGUUGAUGAAGUUAGGUGCUGUUCUUAGCAUUAUUUGUGGAUAUAGAGUGGCGUUUUGGUUGAGGUUUGUGUGUGGCUCCUGGGACCGCUGUGCAUUGCUAUUGUGUGGUCGUUACUUAAGAUGUUAUAACUUCAGAAGCAAGUGGUCUGCAACAUACAUCUCUCAACGGGGUGACCCUAACUUAAUUUUAUGCCGGAAUAUCCCUUUAAAAAAAUUGUGUAUUUCUAUCCUAGAUGACCCCACAACUAUGUAUGAUCAGUGCCCGAUUACAGCCAUUCUUACUACAAUAAAACAAUUUAAAAAAUGUCAAAAGUUUUUGAACACACACCUGUUAUCACAGUUUUAUCAAUGAAAGAGAGGUUGUUCACAGAGAGUGCAUUAGCACAGCAUGUGUGCUCUAGAUUAGAGAUGGAAACUCAUUCUGUGUGCAGUCACCUUGACCGAGCCUCAGGCUCUGCCAGUUCCAAGAAAACAUGCAGGAAAAAACCUCAUUCCUUUUUGACUCUUUUUUUUCCACAACUUUCCCUGGGGGCAUUAAGGGCGCCCAGCUAUGCUGCACUUCAUACUGAAACUUGUCUCCCACUGUCGUUUCAUACCACUUAAGGGAAAGUGAUACUGUGAUUAAAAAUGUCGGAAAAAUAAACAUCUGAAACACUGACCGCUUUUCUGUGAGCAAAGAAGAAGGAGGCAUAAAGCCUUUGUCAGUUAACAACAAAACUAGUCAGAUUAUGAAUGAAUCUACAGUAAUAUGAGAGCAAACAGGGCUGACAAAAAGCUCUACAGGCCGCUCUAUUUUUAAGUUAAAGCAUGCACCAAUAUAGUAUUUGUGCCCUUGUAAUGCAAUUGAAGCUGUAAAUCGUCUCGGCCUCAGCCAGUAUGGCUGCAGUGGACUGUCCACUGGGGAGAGAUGACCUUCACUGUGCCUCUGGUGACAGAGCUAAAUCAAAGCUGCUGCUUGUUUAAGACAGACACUGUACAUUGGCUGCAUGGCCCCUGGUGAAUUAUUUAUUCGUGAAAUGAAAUGACCUCUGGCACUUUAGCGACAGCAGGAACAGAACAAGGACACAAGAGUUGAGGUAAAAGGCAGCACUUUGGCUAAGUGAAAGAAGGAUUUUUACGAUAUGUUUGAACACAUGAGGGAUUCUGAAUCGAGCAGGGAGUGUAGAAAGGGUUGGACAGAGAGAAACUGAUAGCUCAGCCUUCAGGAUGAGCCUGCAGGGGUUUAUGUUAGAGGUCUUACCCAAACCUGUCAGAGCAGCAGCUUACUACCACCCCCCAUUUGUGCUCCGAGAAGUCUAUCUUUGUGAGCACCAUCAUGACUUCUACAUCUGGAGAAUGAGUAUGUUCUUCAAGGUUAAACCUGAGCUUGGAGUUUAAGGUUGGUAUAGUCUGUGUUGAAUAGUUAGGAUGGCUGGAUAGUGGUUUUUAGAUGUUAGAAAAUGCAUGGUGUUGUUCAAAGUCUUUACAGGUAUAGAAGUACAAACAAGUGUGUGGGUGUGUGUGUGUGUGUGUCUCACACUCUGUCAACUCAGCUAACAUCCAUUUGACAGCUAUUCAAGCAGGAUAUGCUGUUAUGCAACACACACACUUACACACAUGCAUACACAUGCACCAAAACACACAUCCAGACCAGUCCUGCCUUCUGCAAAAUUCCAUUCCUCCACCAUUAUGCAUAAGUGAUUGAAGCUAAAAGUCAGUGUUCAGUCACUGUUCGGUCAGUUUCAGUGCAGGACGUUCAGAUAGCCUUCUACAUAUGUGAUGAGAGGGGUCAGGGUAAUUUCUUUUGCCUUUGGCUUCAGAUUCCUGAGUUUACUCCUCAUACAACUUGCUAAGUUUGACAUUUUUAUUACUGCACCUUGACCAUGAACUUUCCCAGACCUUGGCCAUGCCUUUUGAGCUAUACUGUGUUGCUUUUCAAUGUUAUGUGGAGAGUAAUUGUAGAGGCCUUUGGGUUAAAAACUAAGCAUGCAAGUUCCUUAGCAGUGAUUCUGUUAAUCGAAACAUUUACAAUGACGUAUUUUUCAUGAUUUCCUAGACACAAACAUGAAGAUGUACCGGAUCAUGGGUCAUUGUCUUUACUUUGUCUUGCUAUUUCUAUUGCUGUAACUUCCGUUAGCUAACAUAAACAGUUUGUUUACUUCUUUUCCUACACCUCCUAAAGAUGGGUAACCCGUUAAAAUUGACCGUUAGAAAACACAUUAGAAAUUGCACUAAAUAGAGCUUCUUAUAGUUGGACUAUCAUACCUGGAUACUGAGAUUGAGGAUAGAUUUUCUCUGUCAUGCAUAUGAAACUGGCCUUAGCAAUCUGCUUGUACCCCUGUUUUUGUGUGCCUUUCUUUGAGUCAGAGGUGUGUAGGAUGAAUGGGUUGCAAGAAAGUCAGGUAGUAAAUAAUAUAGACUGUCUCAUUGUACAAACAAAUGGUGCAGAGCUGUAUAUGUGACUGUGUUUUAAAUGUGCAUCCUGUUAGCCUCAUGCUAACGUAUUUGUCAACUGUUUUAGUAAUAGCACAUCAAAUGGGAGAUGCCCAGAUAGUAUCAGGCUGACAGAGAGCGUGUCGUCACGUAUCAUAGCAGAGGCUGACAUGAUCCUGCCAGGAAUUAGAUUUUUACCCAUGCAGUGAAACUGAAGUCCAGUUAAAUCCCUGAAUUGAGCUAUAAUCGUAGCUCCUCUGAACUGUGUAUGUAAAUGUACUAAUAGAUAUUGACCUGCGUUGUACUUGGCUCUCAUGUGGCUCACACUUUUGUUAAAUCAACACUCCACUUCCUGCCUUAUAAUCUUCUUACACUAUUUACUCUCCAGUAGAAACAUUAAAAUGCAUUUAAUGAUGGUAAAACAAACAUUUUGCAGUCUGUACUCCAGUCUUCUGCCUGGUACAAUAAGAGAAAAAUUAACUCUGUUAAUGUUAACAUUUGACCAUUUGUUACAGAUAAAUCAAUUUGCACUGUAAAUAGCACUGUGAUGCAACACCUGUUUUCACAGCCACUUAUCAGAAUUAGCAUUUCAGACUCAAAGCUGAUAAGGCCAUCGACAGGUUUCAGAGGAAUUUUCUCUCAUCCGUGAUCACACCUACUGUUUUCACUACCUGCCAAUUUCUUAUUAGCUGGGACAGUUUAGCAGAGCAGCUGACAUGUCACCUGUCUGUUUGAUUUGGCUCACAAAAAAACUUUUCCACCCAGCCGGUCUCACCUGGUUGAUUAUUCCGCUCUAAUUAAACCUAACAUUAAAAAGUGCCGCUCCCAUUUUGAUGGCAAAAGACUUUGAUGAACUCCAUGCAGUCAUCAUAGGAAUUCUGAAUAUAGGAGUUAUGCAAGUGAGGUGAUGUCACUGAAAACAUGCACACUAUGCAACAGUGGGCCAACCAUGAAAAGGAGAUGACAAGCAACAGUGUGACACAACAUUACUCUGAGCAAGUUGACGGUGGGGACUGACUGGUAUGACAGCUCGAAAUUCUUCUCAUUACAUUCACACAUUUGUAAACACAAGAGUUCAGAGAAUAUAAUUAAAAAAGCAGUAGGGUACAAGAAUUAAGUGUUGAAGCACAAACUGCAUACGUCUAGUUGUUUUUAUGUGGCUCUGCAGAGGAGACUACAGCAUUACGACACAGCUGAUCUCUCUUUAGCGGGGAAAUGUAAAAAGUGCUUUUCUUAGUGUCCGACUGUAAAUAGAGGCUUAAAGCAUCUGUCACCUACAGUCCAGCUGCUGCAGGCACACGCACACCAGUCACGGACCUUUGCUAACAUACCAGAGGGCCUUAAAUUGUAGCCACACUUUUCAAGGCUUAAACAAAAGGCUGUAAUUUUGUUUGACUUGUUCCACUAAUUUUCCUCACAUAUUUUGGCACAGCCCAAGAAAAGCAAAACAGUUGACACAAUUGCACAACUGUGUGUUUUUACCACACUGGAUGAGAAGUGCCAAUAGUGCAUAAAAGCCAAGUAAAAUGGCUCCAGAAAGGCUCCAUAAAUGCAUUCCAGAAAAGUUAGGGCUGAAUUGGCAAAAAGAAGAAAUAUGCCUCGUUGUGGCUCAAAUUGAAUACAUGCAUAUCCUAACAAACUGCGAUGUUGUUUCGCAUCAGCUGUAGCGUGUUCUUUGUGUUCCUUUUGUCUUGGCCUGUCAACAUUUGUUUAACUGCGGAGGAGCCUAAAGUGCUGUGGCAAGUCGUCAUCCCAGCUUUUCACGUCCACUUAUGUCAACUUAGAGAGAGAGAGGGAAGGAGAAGGAGAAAUCGUAGGGCAGAAAGUGAAAUAUCUCUCAAUUGAAUUAGUCACAAAUCAGCAUUUUUAACCCGUUUAAACCAUUAACAAUAUCUGCAUUUUGAGGGAGAUACAUUUUUCUUUACCACCAUAACCAUAAACAAGAACAUUGCAGAAAUUUUUUCCUCUUGUAGGGCACAAUGAUGAUUUGUAAAGUAACAGAAGCUCUCCUGUUCAGCAAAUCUCCAUCAUGAGUCAUCAUGUUAGGGCAAUGCAAUUUGCCACAUAUGACCAUACAUAGAAUUAAACAACUUUUUUUUCCCCUUUUUUGCUGAUGAUGGUCAUUCUGUGUCCAGCACAUUUUGUAUACAAGACAAAAUUCCAACGAUGUUUUCAGAAGAGGACAGACAGAACUCAUAAAAAAAGGAAUCCUUCCAGCUUAGAUACACAGCAGAUACACUCAUAAACACACACACACACACACCGACCCAUCCCCCAACACACAAAACCAAAUUGAGUUUAUUGUGUUUCCAGCCUCAUGUUGCUUAGUGUAGUUAGUGUUCAACUGUCUGUGUGCACUUACACACACUAAGUAAUAAGCUUAGAAAAUUAUUUAUUGUGCCAGAUGUGUUAUGAAAGAGAAACCAAAGUGAAAGCAGGGGAUUAAAAAGGCUGAGAUUGAGAGUGUGGGGAAGAGGAAAGUCAGGGGGUGGGUGGGGGGAUCUUAUUGUAUUAGAAAAGCAAAGACUUCAAACUGGCCCCUUCUUUAGAUGCAUUCACAGAGAAUAAUUGGGCGAGUGCC